GGGUUGUGGGACAAUAGCAAACGUGUAUUUUUGCAAUAGUUAGAUGAAGUGUUUGGAAUCGCACACCAAAGAAAGUGAUAGUCUUGUAAUCAAAAACUAUAAAAUACAUUUAUUGUAUCCCGAGUAGCAUGGAGCACGUGUAAUUCCGUGUGAAUCCGCGAGGACCACCUCGUAAGGCUAAAUAUUCCUGAAUGACCGAUAGUGAACCAGUACCGCGAGGGAAAGGUGAAAAGAACCCCGGGAGGGGAGUGAAAUAGAACAUGAAAUCAUAAGCUUACAAGCAGUAGGAGGACGACUUAACGUCUGACUACGUUCCUGUUGAAGAAUGAGCCGGCGACUUAUAGGUAGUGGCUUGGUUAAGACAUGAUGUCGGAGCCUUAGCGAAAGCGAGUCUGAAAAGGGCGUUUGUCACUAUUUAUAGACCCGAACCCGGAUGAUCUAACCAUGGCCAGGGUGAAGCUUAGGUGAUACUAAGUGGAGGUCCGAACCGACUGAUGUUGAAAAAUCAGCGGAUGAGUUGUGGUUAGGGGUGAAAUGCCAAUCGAAUCCGGAGCUAGCUGGUUCUCCCCGAAAUGUGUUUAGGCGCAGCGGUUAAUGUUAUAAUUUAGGGGUAAAGCACUGUUUCGGUGCGGGCUGGUAAAACGGUACCAAAUCGAGGCAAACUAAGAAUACUAAAUGAAUAGUUAACCAGUAAGACUGUGGGGGAUAAGCUCCAUUGUCAAGAGGGAAACAGCCCAGACCACCAGUUAAGGCCCCAAAAUAAUUACUAAGUGAUAAAGGAGGUGGGAAUGCUUAGACAACCAGGAGGUUUGCUUAGAAGCAGCAAUCCUUUAAAGAGUGCGUAAUAGCUCACUGGUCGAGUAGGCCUGCGCCGAAAAUGAAUGGGACUAAGUAAUUUGCCGAAGCUGUGGGAUACUUAUUAAGUAUCGGUAGGGGAGCGUUCUGUUGUAGGUUGAAGUAUUAGCGAAAGCGGAUAUGGACGAAGCAGAAGUGAGAAUGUCGGCUUGAGUAGCGAAAACAUUGGUGAGAAUCCAAUGCCCCGAAAACCUAAGGUUUCCUUCGGAAGGCUCGUCCGCGGAGGGUAAGUCAGGACCUAAGGCGAGGCCGAAAGGCGUAGUCGAUGGACAACGGGUUAAUAUUCCCGUACUAUCUAUUGUUGACAACGAGGGACGGAGAAGGCUAAGUCGGCCGGAUAUUGGUUUUACCGGUUUAAGCGUUCGAGAUGUAGACGAGUAGUGAAACUACUUUGAGUUAAGACGUGAUGACGACGUACUACGGUACUUAAGCGAUGUAUGUCAUACUUCCAAGAAAAGCUUGCACUGUCAUAAACAUUAGAUACCUGUACUCUAAACCGACACAGGUAGGUAGGUAGAGUAUACCAAGGGGCGCGAGAUAACUCUCUCUAAGGAACUCGGCAAAAUAACCCCGUAACUUCGGGAGAAGGGGUACCUCUUUGAGGUUGCAAUAACCAGGUCCAAGCGACUGUUUACCAAAAACACAGGUUUCCGCUAAGUUGUAAAACGACGUAUGGGAGCUGACGCCUGCCCAGUGCCGGAAGGUUAAGGAAGUUGGUUUAAUGCUGAUAACUGAAGCCCCGGUGAACGGCGGCCGUAACAAUAACGGUCCUAAGGUAGCG
rnacentral:rRNA from 13 species